AAGAAAACCUUCUUCAGAUCAAUUCACUUCCCAGAGCACUGUGUUACUGUGUGUGGAAACCUGGCCCUUUGUCAAAAACGGCACACCUAGUGACAUAAAUGGUGACUGUGAUGCUGUGGGUCCGAGUGCUUGCUAUGAGAGCACAAGACCACCAGAAAACCCAAGCCCGCUCUGCUCAGAGAAGCCCAAUCCGAAACGUCUGAGAAAUCAGGAGAGUACAGCAGCUCUGAAAACCACCUUCUGCAUCUGGACCUGGCAAGAAAUGGACCUGGGGAUGGCUGGAAAUCAUGAUGAAGAGGAGACAGACAAACAGGAGGCAUAAAGUGAUCUGCUGCUUCUGGGCUGUCCUUGCCCAGACAGGAGGUUCUGGAUUCUAGGCCUCCAACUGUUGCCAGGAAAGAACCCUCAGACUGCCUCUUCCUGGGGCCCCAGAGCCAUGAUGACCACUCUGAGAAGCCCCAGCACUGCCCAUGUGGAUGACGGGAAGGCUGACCGGCAGCUGGUUUCUGUCCACUGCACUGGUUUAUGUUAAUUGCAGAUAUUUUCAUCGUAUUGUGUUACUCCAUCCAUCUUUGUGAACGGGCCGUCUUGUAAAAUUCUUUUAAUUAUGUUAUUUUUUCUUGCCUAUCUUCAUCAUCUACAAUUAUUUAUAAUAUCAUUGUCCUUGUUUCAAAUGCUGGGAAUAAACAUUGUUGUAACAGUU